rnacentral:rRNA from 1 species
GUCUUUUUGAAUUAAUUUAAAGUCUAAUCUGCCCACUGAAUUUUUUAAAUGGCCGCAGUAUUUUAACUGUGCAAAGGUAGCAUAAUCAUUAGUCUUUUAAUUGAAGGCUUGUAUGAAUGAUUGGACGAGAUAUAAACUGUUUCAAUAAAAUAUUUAAAAUUUUAUUUUUUAGUUAAAAAGCUAAAAUAAAUUUAAAAGACGAGAAGACCCUAUAGAUUUUUAUAAAAGUAUUUUAAAUUUUUAUAGUAAAUUUUUGAUUUAAUAUAUGUUUUUAUUUUGUUGGGGUGACAUUGAAAUUUAAUAAACUUUCAUUAAUUAUUAUACAUUAAUUUAUGAAUAGAUGAUCCUUUAUUAUUGAUUAAAAAUUUAAAUUACCUUAGGGAUAACAGCGUAAUUAUUUUGGAGAGUUCUUAUCGAUAAAAUAGAUUGCGACCUCGAUGUUGGAUUAAGA